CGCACGAUGUUCUUGUGCCGGAUGGAGCCCAGCGUGCGCACCUCCGCCGAGAACGAGUCCCGGCCGGCGUCCUUGAACGCGGCCGCCGCGGCCGUCGUGGCGGGCCACAGCUUCUUCACGGCGAUGGUCUCGCCGGAUUCCAGGCUCACGCGGUACACCACGCCGGACACGCCCUUGCCGAUGAUGUUGGCGUCGACCAGGCUGCGCACCACCUGCUCCACGGAGAAGCUCACCUUCUGGAACGGCGUGAACUGCCAGGGCCACCCCAGCUCCCCGCCACCGGCCUCCGAGUCGCUGCUCCCGCCACCACCAUUGCCCUUGACGCCCACCCCGCGCGCUCUGAGUAUGCCGAUCAUCCCGAGCACCAUCGCCACCGUCGCGGUCACCAGCAGCGCGAUGGCGAGCUUGAGCCGGUGCGCGCGCUGCGCAUCGUCGCUAGCGGUCACCGACAUCGGCCGGCCAUCGGCGUCCACACCAACGAAGCACACGUCGCCGCCUUUGGUGCACAGCCCCGAGUUCCCGGAGAGGCUGGACGCCGAGAGCUGCCGGAAUAGCUUCGUGUCCGGGAGCUGCGAUAUCCGCGCCGGGAUCGUGCCUGUGAGGCCAUUGCGGCUGAGGUUAAGGGCGAUGUCGAGGCCGGCGAGGCUGCAGAGCUCGUCGGGGAUGCUGCCGGAGAGGCGGUUGUCGCUUAGGUCGAGCAGCUCGAGCGCGCGGCACCGCCCGAGCGCCGCCGGUAUCGUCCCCGACAGCGCGUUGCCGGCGAGGACGAGACGGCUCAGCACCGCCAGCCUUCCGAAGGAUUCUGGCACGGGGCCGGCAAGCUGGUUGUGUGAGACGUCGAGCUCCUGCAGGCCGCGCACGCCGGCGAGCGAAUCUGGCAAGGCUCCAGUGAGCGUGUUGUUGCUGAGGUCGAGCAUCUGGAGCUGCGAGCAGUCGCCGAGCUGGGCGGGCACGGUGCCCGUGAGGCGGUUGCUGCCGAGGUCGAGGAAGACGAUGCUCUUCAUCCCGCCCACGGCCGCUGGAAUCUCCCCGGUGAUGCGGUUGCCGCCGAGCCUGAGCCGCACGAGGCUCGCCGCCUUCCCGAUCUCCGGCGGUAUCACGCCGGAGAUAUCGUUGGACAAGAUUAGCAGCUUGGUGAGGUUGCGCAGCAAGAAGAGCCCCGGCGGCACGGCACCGGUGAAGCGGUUGUGCGAGAGGUCGAGAGCCUGGAGGCUCGCCAUGGACGCGAGCGUGGCCGGGAUGGCGCCCUCGAGGCGGUUCUGCCACGCGAACAGCACCUGCAGGUUGGUCAGGCUCCGGCCGAGCUCCGGCGGGAUGAGGCCGGAGAUCUCGUUGGUGUCGAGCUGCAGCUGCACGAGCGCCGUCGCGUUGGCGAGCUGCACUGGGAUGGUGCCGGUGAUGUUGUUGUCACUGAGCAUCAGGUCCUGCAGCGCCGGCAGCCGGCCGAGCGACGCCGGGAUGACGCCGGAGAUGGAGUUGAUGGAGAGGUCGAGCGAGACGAGAGAGGUGAGGUUGCCGAAGCUGUCCGGGAUGGGGCCGGUGAGCGCGUUC
rnacentral:rRNA from 1 species